rnacentral:RNase_P_RNA from 1 species
UUUUGGGGCCGGGUCGCCGCUCCCUUGUUCUUUGAUCAAUGGAGAGGAAAGUCCGGACACCGCAGGGCAGGAUGCCGCACGAGCUUCACGGCAAGUGCGGGCAGUGCGUUUCAAAACGCGCUGACGGAAAGUGUCACAGAGAAUAUACCGCCACGCGGGCAACCGCGGGGUAAGGGUGAAAAGGUGGGGUAAGAGCCCACCGCGUCGUCAGUAAUGACGGCGGCAGGACAAACCCCUUCCGGUGCAAGGCAAAAUAGGUGGCUGGGCUGCUCGUCCUAUAGCCACGGGUAUGCCGCAGCUUGUUUCGUUCGCGCAAGCGGGUGACUCAGGCCAGGUCCGUCGCAAGGCGGAUUUGAGAGAAAUGACGACCGCACGCCGCAAGGCGGGGCACAAAAUCCGGCUUACAGGCCCCAAAACCAA